UCGAUCUCAAAUCAGGUAGGACUACCCGCUGAACUUAAGCAUAUCAAUAAGCGGAGGAAAAGAAACUAACAAGGAUUCCCCUAGUAACUGCGAGUGAAGCGGGAAGAGCUCAAAUUUAAAAUCUGGCGUGCCUCUGGUCGUCCGAAUUGUAGUCUGGAGAAGCGUUUUCCGUGUCGGACCGUGUAUAAGUCUCUUGGAACAGGGCGUCAUAGAGGGUGAGAAUCCCGUCUUUGACAUGGACUACCGAUGCUUUGUGAUGCGCUCUCAAAGAGUCGAGUUGUUUGGGAAUGCAGCUCAAAAUGGGUGGUAAAUUCCAUCUAAAGCUAAAUAUAGGCGAGAGACCGAUAGCGAACAAGUACCGUGAGGGAAAGAUGAAA
rnacentral:rRNA from 1 species